rnacentral:misc_RNA from 1 species
GAUGAAGAACGCAGCGAAAUGCGAUAAGUAAUGUGAAUUGCAGAAUUCAGUGAAUCAUCGAAUCUUUGAACGCACAUUGCGCCCGCUAGUAUUCUGGCGGGCAUGCCUGUCCGAGCGUCAUUUCAACCCUCAAGCCCCCGGGCUUGGUGUUGGGGAUCGGCGAGCCUCCGCGCCCGCCGUCCCCUAAAUCUAGUGGCGGUCUCGCUGUAGCUUCCUCUGCGUAGUAGCACACCUCGCACUGGGAAACAGCGCGGCCACGCCGUUAAACCCCCAACUUUUUAUAGUUGACCUCGAAUCAGGUAGGACUACCCGCUGAACUUAAGCAUAUCAAUAAGCGGAGGA